rnacentral:rRNA from 1 species
ACGAAGGGGGCUAGCGUUGCUCGGAAUCACUGGGCGUAAAGGGCGCGUAGGCGGAUCUUUAAGUCGGGGGUGAAAGCCCAGGGCUCAACCCUGGAAUUGCCUUCGAUACUGAAGAUCUCGAGACCGGAAGAGGUAAGUGGAACUGCGAGUGUAGAGGUGAAAUUCGUAGAUAUUCGCAAGAACACCAGUGGCGAAGGCGGCUUACUGGUCCGGUUCUGACGCUGAGGCGCGAAAGCGUGGGGAGCAAACAGGA